UGAAAGAAAAUCAAAAUAGGGUUUCAUCUUCUCCUUUUCCUUCUCCCUUGUUGCCCUAGCCACCACCCCCUUCCCCUUCAGUUUUACGGUGACCUCUGACGACGGCGACGGUCUCCCCAAGGUGGCGACCACACGACCCACGACACGACGACUUCCGGCGCGACGGCAGGCCAUCUCGAGUAGCAAUGGCGAUUGGAUUUUCGACGUAUUUCGACGCGGCGGCACACACAGCAGGUCACACAAUUUCUUAUCCUCUGGGAGCGUGUUCUGCAGUGGACGGCAGACCUGCAGCAGUAAGAAUCGAGCAGACCCAACGCUCCCACAGUGUUUUAGUGGCGGUGCUUUCCUCUGGUGGCUCGUCUACAAUUAUAAGCGUGUGUCUGCAGCGUUGCCGAUGUGUUUCCGAUGAGUUCUACAGCAACCCACGGCCAGCAGCAAUUUGUUAGGUUUUCGACAGGUUUCGAUGCGUACCCACACCAAAACGAAGCUUGAUUUGAGUUACCCACCCCCAUUGGCAUUGAUUCAACGUUGCCAACUCUUAUUCGGACCCAAAUCGGUGUUACUCAUCACUUUUCGGCAUCGGACCGGCAAGCCUAAGGUCAUUCGAACUCAGUUUUGGGAGCCCGAACCUCCUCGGCGUUGACCCACUCCUAUUCCAAGAGGUUUUAGUGUGAGUUAGAAACCUUUCGGCGAAGCUUAGGAACGUUAGGUUUCUUGGGGUUCUGCAGUUAAUGAGGUAACGCACGGGAAUGGUGAUGGUGAGGAGGAGAUUUGACGGAAAGAGACCAUAGCACUGCGUUAUUAAUUUUCAUGUUGAAUAGGAUAGUUGGAGUUGUUUCGUUUAGCUUGAGUUUGAUGUUUUGUUAACUGUUUAGUUUUCUAUUUAAGGAAUGAUUUAGAGUUGGGAAUUUAUUAUUCUUUGAGAACUAUAGUUUUGGUUAUCUGUUCGGAUUGUGGAAGUUGAAAUUUAUGGAAGGUAGCUAUCGUUGUGCUGUUUCAAGGAGAAAUAAAACUAGUGUUGACUUCGUUGAUAA